CCUCAGAAGAUCUGACGAGGGUUUAAGGAGCGGUGGCUGGGAGGGGAGAGAAAGGGUCACUGUCGGCCUAAACUUAACCCGCUCCUAGGUAGGGGUGGGCUCGAGUCUCGAGGCCGUUGGUAUCGGCGGCCAUCUGUCUCGAGCCUCGAGGGCAUCGGUACCGACGGGCAUCUGUCUCGAGGCGGCAGACCUAGAGCGCAGUGGUCAGAGGAGACGACGGAGAGCCAGAAGGGAACGAGACCUAGGUCAGGUGGUUCUCGGGUCGGAACGACGGUUCAGGUAGCGGCGGCGGACACAGGAUACAGGGCUGUCGUGUGCGGCGGUGUAGACAGGGGGAGGAGCUGACGUAGCCGAGAGGAGGUCGUGCACUGGAUCCCAACGUACGUACCACCCUACGUGGUCGGACGGUCGGAUGGGGCGUCGGGGGGGCGACUGUACCCGGGCUCCGGGUACUCCACUCCGUCGACGGGGAGGAGCGGACCGCUCCGUCGACCUCUUCAUCGACGCCCUGGUCUCCGACGGCAUCCUACUCUAUGACACCACGACGUCACAGAUCACCAACUUCUUCCCCACACGACCCUUCUCCUCAAUCACUACACCUCCUCAAAAAGGUCCCGAUAGACGGACAAGGGCCGGCGCGACCACAGUUGAUGGAGCUCGGUGAUACCGGUGGGGGUUGGUGCGAGUGGGGGGCCUUGUUAUUUGUUAAGAUCUCCCUUUCGUGGGCUGGACACUUUGGAUCGCGGCGAUCAAAGGGACGGGGCAGAACGGCAGUGGCCUCCCCGGCUAGCUGCUUCGAACCGACCGAGGGCCCUACCGCCGCCGCCCCGUGAAAAGCCCGAACACGCGCCGCGUCCACUCGCGCCGCAACCGGCGAUCUAACUCGCAUCAAGGGGUGCACCCGACGAGCUAGACCGCCGCCGCCGACGAGUUACCUCUAACACUAACAAGCAUCAUCUUACAUACGUGCUCUGUACUUAGAACCUAAAAUAUAACAAAAGGAGCUACGAACCCGAAGGAGCUUGAAAAACAUAUAACGUGUGUUGUGUUGUGUAUUUAAGUACCUAUGAUUUAAAAAUUUACUAAACUUUAGUACAACAAAAGAUAAGAUGACGGUAACCAAGUAGUGAGACUUGGUUUUAGUUAACAACCUUGAGACCGUAUAUAACCAGGAUUUCAACACGAUUUCUUUCUUAUACUGCGUUCGAUACUAGGUCGGAUAAACACUAAAUUUGCCAGACGACGUAUGAGACGGUAGACGACGUAUGAAUUAAUACAAACGAGCCGGUAUUUUCGGAAUGAACUAAAGACCUAGAAGGUAAGUGGAAGGCAACGGUACUCACCACUUACCAGAACUCCUCAUUAGUAAAUCUAUUACAUACAUAAAACGAGUUCGUGAUUAUAAUACAGAAACUUACCGGAUACGCACCUACACCCUAUUGGGAAAGACACUACAACCAACCACGAAUGGGAGAGCUCCUAGGUCUUCUAGGUUUUUUUGCUUUAAGUCUUUGGGGUAUAGUUUGCCUUAGGUUUGCCCUAUUUUUGCCUGCCUAUUAUAAAAACCUUAUAAACUUUUUAAGACCUUCUUCUUAGUUGCGUUCUGCCACGGGCUCCACCGGUGCUCCGUCCCCCACGCGGACGGGGGGAUCCGCGCGGGGACUGGGAGCACCCGGUGGGCAUUCCGCCAACUACGGGAAGAAGUCGGCGUUGUUUCGAUUAAAAACCCUUUUAUAGUGCCGCUUCCAAAGUCAGGUUAGCCUCAAUGCCUAGAGGUAUAUAUAUGCUUUGCCACUUUCCCUUGGUCUGCUCUUGCGUCUUUGUCUCUCUCUGUCUCUCUGUCUAGGUUAGAGCCUCCCUGAGAGCGGGGAGGGUGAGGUACCUCUGGUACCUGAUCUCCCCUUUGGGAAGAGGAUAGAUCCCUCUUCCAGUUCCUUCUUCUUCUUCCUCCCCCCGAGAGAGGGGGUUCGAAAGCCACCGCGGUCCUGCGACGGCCCCCGGUAGUAGUAGUGGCGCUAGAUGUGGUUGUGGAGGCGGUAGAAGUGGUUGUAGAGGUAGUGGAAGGGGGGAGAUAGAUGUCGCCAGGUGAGAGGGCGUUGGGCGACAUGGGAGAUGAACUUGUACCACGAAAUACGAAGUAUAAUAAUAAGUUACUACACAACGGUAGGAUACUACAGACUCAUC
rnacentral:rRNA from 1 species